rnacentral:ncRNA from 18 species
GGGGCGGGCCGUGACUGGCGUUCGGGUGGAUCACCACCGGGGAGCGGCCCGGCGCACCUCCCGUGCGCCCGGCGUACCCCGAGUACGCCGGCUGCCGCGCGCCUGGGCGAACCGC